UAUACAAGGGCAGACUCUCUCU
rnacentral:miRNA from 3 species